rnacentral:rRNA from 1 species
AGAGUUUGAUCAUGGCUCAGGACGAACGCUGGCGGCGUGCUUAACACAUGCAAGUCUUACGAGAAAAGGGUAGCAAUAUCCUGAGUAAAGUGGCGCACGGGUGAGUAACACGUAGGCAAUUUGCCUUUAGGACGGGAACAACCCCGGGAAACCGGGGCUAAUACCCGAUGAUGCAGCGGCUCCGCAUGGAGACAGUUGUUAAUUCCCGCAAGGGGCCUAUUGAUGAGCCUGCGUCUGAUUAGCUAGUUGGUGAGGUAACGGCCCACCAAGGCAACGAUCAGUAGCUGGUCUGAGAGGAUGAUCAGCACACUGGAACUGAGACACGGUCCAGACUCCUACGGGAGGCAGCAGUGAGGAAUAUUGCGCAAUGGCCGAAAGGCUGACGCAGCGACGCCGCGUGAAGGAUGAAGUUCGUUAGAAUGUAAACUUCUUUUGUAGGGGAUGAAUGUUCCGUUUUACGGAAUUGACCGUACCCUGCGAAUAAGGAUCGGCCAACUACGUGCCAGCAGCCGCGGUAACACGUAGGAUCCGAGCGUUGUCCGGAAUUACUGGGUGUAAAGGGCGUGUAGGUGGGUCUCUAAGUCGGUGGUGAAAUCUUGCAGCUCAACUGUAAAAUUGCCAUUGAUACUGGAGGUCUUGAGUACGGCAGAGGGAAAUAGAAUUCAUGGUGUAGCGGUGAAAUGUGUAGAUAUCAUGAAGAAUACCGGUAGCGAAGGCGGUUUCCUGGUCCGUAACUGACACUGAGGCGCGAAAGCGUGGGGAGCAAACAGGAUUAGAUACCCUGGUAGUCCACGCCUUAAACGAUGAAUACUAGGUGCUGGGCCGUAAGGUUCAGUGCCAAAGCUAACGCAUUAAGUAUUCCACCUGGGGAGUACGAUCGCAAGGUUGAAACUCAAAGGAAUUGACGG